UAAGACGUAGGAGGCGAGCGUUGUCCGGAGUUACUGGGCGUAAAGCGCGCGCAGGCGGCCCUGUACGCUGCCGGUGAAAGCUCCCGGCUCACCUGGGAGAGGUUCGGCAGUACGGCAGGGCUGGAGGGCGGUAGAGGGUGGUGGAAUUCCCGGUGUAGUGGUGAAAUGCGUAGAGAUCGGGAGGAACACCCGUAGCGAAGGCGGCCACCUGGGCCGACCCUGACGCUGAGGCGCGAAGGCCAGGGGAGCGAACGGGAUUAGAUACCCCGGUAGUCCUGGCAGUAAACGAUGUCGACUGGCCGUUGGGGGGCUCGACCCCCUCGGCGGCGGAGCUAACGCGGGAAGUCGACCGCCUGGGGAGUACGGCCGCAAGGCUA
rnacentral:rRNA from 1 species